AGUGAACGCUGGCGGUAGGCCUAACACAUGCAAGUCGAACGGCAGCACAGUAAGAGCUUGCUCUUACGGGUGGCGAGUGGCGGACGGGUGAGGAAUACAUCGGAAUCUACUUUUUCGUGGGGGAUAACGUAGGGAAACUUACGCUAAUACCGCAUAUGACCUACGGGUGAAAGCAGGGGAUCUUCGGACCUUGCGCGAUUGAAUGAGCCGAUGUCGUAUUAGCUAGUUGGCGGGGUAAAGGCCCACCAAGGCGACGAUCCGUAGCUGGUCUGAGAGGAUGAUCGGCCACACUGGAACUGAGACACGGUCCAGACUCCUACGGGAGGCAGCAGUGGGGAAUAUUGGACAAUGGGCGCAAGCCUGAUCCAGCCAUACCGCGUGGGUGAAGAAGGCCUUCGGGUUGUAAAGCCCUUUUGUUGGGAAAGAAAAGCAGCAGGUUAAUACCCCGCUGUUCUGACGGUACCCAAAGAAUAAGCACCGGCUAACUUCGUG
rnacentral:rRNA from 1 species